rnacentral:rRNA from 1 species
CGUCCGUAGCCNUGUUCAGUAAAUCUGUGGGUAAAUCAACCUGCUUAACGGGUUGAAUUCCUGCAGAGACUGCUGGACUAGGGACCGGGAGAGGUGUGGGGUACUCGAGGGGUAGGGGUAAAAUCCUGUCAUCCUUCGAGGACCACCAGUUGCGAAGGCGCCACACUGGAACGGAUCCGACGGUCAGGGACGAAGCCUAGGGGCACGAACCGGAUUAGAUACCCGGGUAGUCCUAGGUGUAAACGCUGUGAACUUGGUGUCGGGAGUCCGCAAGGGGNCUNCRGUGCCGGAGUGAAGAUGUUAAGUUCACUGCCUCGUCCGUAGCCNUGUUCAGUAAAUCUGUGGGUAAAUCAACCUGCUUAACGGGUUGAAUUCCUGCAGAGACUGCUGGACUAGGGACCGGGAGAGGUGUGGGGUACUCGAGGGGUAGGGGUAAAAUCCUGUCAUCCUUCGAGGACCACCAGUUGCGAAGGCGCCACACUGGAACGGAUCCGACGGUCAGGGACGAAGCCUAGGGGCACGAACCGGAUUAGAUACCCGGGUAGUCCUAGGUGUAAACGCUGUGAACUUGGUGUCGGGAGUCCGCAAGGGGNCUNCRGUGCCGGAGUGAAGAUGUUAAGUUCACUGCCU